CAGCGCCGCGGUAAUACCGGCGGCCCGAGUGGCGGCCACUAUUAUUGGGCUUAAAGCGUCCGUAGCCGGGUUGGUUAGUCUCCCGGGAAAUCUGGCCGCUUAACGGUCAGAAUUCCGGGAGAUACUGCCAGCCUAGGGACCGGGAGAGGCCGAGGGUAUUCCCGGAGUAGGGGUGAAAUCCUAUAAUCCCGGGAGGACCACCUGUGGCGAAGGCGCUCGGCUGGAACGGGUCCGACGGUGAGGGACGAAGGCCAGGGGAGCAAACCGGAUUAGAUACCCGGGUAGUCCUGGCGGUAAACGAUGCGGACUUUGUGUCGGACAAGCUAUGAGCUUGUCCGGUGCCGGAGGGAAACCGUUAAGUCCGCCGCCUGGGGAGUACGGCCGCAAGGCUGAAACUUAAGGAAUUGGCGGG
rnacentral:rRNA from 1 species